rnacentral:tRNA from 1 species
UCCCUGGUGGCUAAGACGGUAAAGCAUCUGCCUGCAAUGCGGGAGACCCGGGUUCGAUUCCUGGGUUGGGAA